rnacentral:lncRNA from 1 species
AUCUUGAGUUUUAUGCCCCGUCUCUUCUGUUCCCUCUCGCACACCUUUGAUCCCUUCCCUCUCUCUCUCUGUAACGACCCGACCCGCUAGCAACAAUAACUAGUUGGGCCCAAACCACCAGCCCAAAAUGCUUAAGUCCAGUUAUUAUUACUAGCGUGUAGGUCUCAUACAAACUGAUCGGAAUCAAUGUCCAUCCGAUGUGGGACUAUUGGGAGCGUUACAAAACUCCCCAUGUUUAGACCAUGACGUUCUCGUCGGAUCCAAACCAGAUCACAGAGAGACAGACAGAUCAGGACCAAAAUUACCAGAGGAUGUGAGAUUCUAGAGGUGGCUCCUACGAGUUCAAGAGGUGGCACUACAACAAAACUAUGUUUUAGCGGCGAUUAUUUUUUAAAUUAGCGACAAUUACAAUUGCCGCUAAAAUAUUUUGUGGCAAUUUUAACAAUUGCCGCUAUUGGCAGAAUCGCUAAAAGUUUUAGCGACAUUUAUUCCGGCGGUUGGUAAAAAUCCAAAUAAAUGCCGCUAAAUAUUAUACAAUAACGACUAUUAUAAAUGCCGCUAAAUAGUAUGCAAUAAAAACUAUUAUAAAUGCCGCUAAAUAAUAUACAAUAACAACUAUUAUAAACGCCGCUACAAUUAAUUAUAAUUGCCGCAAAAAACAUACUAAAUGAUUGAUUAAUAAAGCUUAUAGCAGCAAUUAAAUUAAUAUUAAAAUACUUGAUUAACAACUAAA